rnacentral:sRNA from 1 species
GUCCGCGAGAAGAAAUUGUGUCGCAAUC